rnacentral:rRNA from 1 species
GAUGAACGCUGGCGGCGUGCCUAAUACAUGCAAGUCGAGCGAACAGACGAGGAGCUUGCUCCUCUGACGUUAGCGGCGGACGGGUGAGUAACACGUGGAUAACCUACCUAUAAGACUGGGAUAACUUCGGGAAACCGGAGCUAAUACCGGAUAACAUGUUGAACCGCAUGGUUUAACAGUGAAAGACGGUCUUGCUGUCACUUAUAGAUGGAUCCGCGCCGCAUUAGCUAGUUGGUAAGGUAACGGCUUACCAAGGCAACGAUGCGUAGCCGACCUGAGAGGGUGAUCGGCCACACUGGAACUGAGACACGGUCCAGACUCCUACGGGAGGCAGCAGUAGGGAAUCGUCCGCAAAGGGCGAAAGCCUGACGGAGCAACGCCGCGUGAGUGAAGAAGGUCUUCGGAUCGUAAAACUCUGUUAUUAGGGAAGAACAAAUGUGUAAGUAACUAUGCACGUCUUGACGGUACCUAAUCAGAAAGCCACGGCUAACUACGUG